rnacentral:rRNA from 1 species
UUUCUUUGCUGGCGACCGGCGCACGGGUGAGUAACACGUAUCCAACCUGCCCUUUACUCGGGGAUAGCCUUUCGAAAGAAAGAUUAAUACCCGAUAGCAUAAUGAUUCCGCAUGGUUUCAUUAUUAAAGGAUUCCGGUAAAGGAUGGGGAUGCGUUCCAUUAGGUUGUUGGUGAGGUAACGGCUCACCAAGCCUUCGAUGGAUAGGGGUUCUGAGAGGAAGGUCCCCCACAUUGGAACUGAGACACGGCCCAA